rnacentral:rRNA from 1 species
UACGUAGGGAGCAAGCGUUGUCCGGAAUCAUUGGGCGUAAAGCGCGCGUAGGCGGCCCUGUAAGUCCGUUGUGAAAGUCAAAGGCUCAACCUUUGAAAGCCGAUGGAUACUGCAGGGCUAGAGUCCGGAAGAGGCGAGUGGAAUUCCUGGUGUAGCGGUGGAAUGCGCAGAUAUCAGGAGGAACACCAGUGGCGAAGGCGGCUCACUGGACCGGUACUGACGCUGAGGCGCGAAAGCGUGGGGAGCAAACAGG